UACGUAGCAGCGAGCGUUGUUUGGAGUUACUGGGCGUAAGGGUGUGUAGGCGGUUGUUUAAGUUUGGUGUGAAUCGUCCCGGCUCAACUGGGAGGGUGCGCCGAAUACUGGAAUGACUUGGAGUGCGGGGAGAGGAAAGUGGAAUUCCUGGGAUGUAGCGGUGAAAUGACGUAGAUAUCAGGAGGAACACCGGUGGUGUAGACGGCUUCUGGACCGUAACUGACGCUGAGACACGAAAGCGUGGGUAGCAAACAGG
rnacentral:rRNA from 1 species